rnacentral:rRNA from 1 species
GUCCACGCCGUAACGAUGAGUGCUAAGUGUUGGAGGUUUCCGCCCUUCAGUGCUGCAGCUAACGCAUUAAGCACUCCGCCUGGGAGUACGGUCGCAAGACUGAAACUCAAAGGAAUUGACGGGGCCCGCACAAGCGGUGGAGCAUGUGGUUUAAUUCGAAGCAACGCGAAGAACCUUACCAGGUCUUGACAUCCUUUGACCACUCUAGAGAUAGAGCUUUCCCUUCGGGGACAAAGUGACAGGUGGUGCAUGGUUGUCGU